UACGAAGGGGGCUAGCGUUGCUCGGAAUCACUGGGCGUAAAGGGUGCGUAGGCGGGUUUUUAAGUCAGAGGUGAAAUCCUGGAGCUCAACUCCAGAACUGCCUUUGAUACUGGGAAUCUUGAGUAUGGAAGAGGUGAGUGGAACUGCGAGUGUAGAGGUGAAAUUCGUAGAUAUUCGCAAGAACACCAGUGGCGAAGGCGGCUCACUGGUCCAUAACUGACGCUGAGGCACGAAAGCGUGGGGAG
rnacentral:rRNA from 1 species